UGUACCGCCUCUGCGUCGCCACGCACCUCAGCCUCAGAUAUUUGGACUUGCAAAUCACGUAGACGGUCUGUUCGCAUCUUUUGCAACACUAUUGUAUUGCUGACCAUGUUGAAAGAUUCCUGAUAAUUUAGAAAAUCAUGAGGAGACGACAUUUCAAGGGGUUCGCUGAAACCAUUCUUUAACGGAACACUCCGGAAUCCCCGACGAAUGCAGGAAAGCUAUAAAAUUAACUACCGAUGGACAGACAGAUUAUGGCUUACGAGAUAGCCUUCACCCAUUCGAGGGCUUCUUCUCUGGAUUCAACACCCAGUUCCAGUAUCUCCGAUUUGGAUGUUAGUUUCACGCGAAGUAGCCACUCGGGUGCGCCAUUUUUGCUAACGACGUUUUCACCUUGAGUGCUACUAACGGAAAUGGUUGAUUGUGCCCUUACCAAUGACGGCUGCAAUUUCAAGAACUCCACUUCAGCACAGGACACGUCGAAACUCUCUUUACUCUGCAAGCCUUGUGCUAUUCCGUCUGCAGACUGGAUUAGCGGAGACAGGUUGGCAAUAAAGAGGUAUUGCAAUCGUCCUCCAUAGUCGCCACGCCACCAAAUCGAGUCGACUUUCUUCACAUUUUUUAUGAUGGCAUUUUUAGGAAAACUUAGUUCGUCGUCCUCGUGGCUCUGAUAACUCUUCAGAGCUCUCACUGAUAUCUUUGCCCAAAAGAAGGAAAUUAGUAGUCAAAUCCGCGAACAUGUGAUAGAAGAAUAAUUACGCCCAUGGGUCCCAUCAACGCCUCCGUUACGAUGUAACUAGGCUGCUCCGCUGCAAUAGAUUCAUCUUUUUCUUUAGGAUUCUGUUUAAAGCCAUUCAGGAAAAUCUGCAGUUAUUUUCUGUUCGUCAAUAGAAAAGAGAGAAUUUGG